CGGACUCUGACUGCGCGGAGACCGCUGGACUCUGGUCGCGGCCUUAGUCCGCUGAUCCUCGCUUGGGUGCCCGCCCUUAGCGGCCCGGCGUUGAAUUCCGGGAAGUGGGAGCUUCAGGCUCGCUCCGUGCGGAGGCGGGGUUUUGUCAUGUUGCUAGGUUGGUGUUGAACUCCUGAGCUCGAGCGAUCCACCUGCCACUGCCUUCCAAAGUGCUGGAAUUACAGGCGUGAGCCACGGCGCCCGGUGGCCGAGGUUAAUAAUAAUUAAAAGUUUCUAAUCCCAUUGUUCAGUUAUUUGAUUUGGUGUAAAGGCGCACUUUCCAAGUCAGAUGAGUUUGUGGUAACAUACAUUCCCCAAAUAAUUAUUUUUCCCUUGUGGGAAAUAUUCCAGUUUUAGGCUACCAGCUGUUUAAACAGUUUGGUUCAAAUCCUUCAAAAAAAUCUCAAAACAUAACUCCACAUAUGUAUUUACUACAUAUUGAAGGGUGUAUUCACUUGGAGAAGUAGGAGAAAGCAAACAGAUGCCAAUGGCCUUUUUGAAAACAUGUAUCUAUCAGCAAUAAUUGAAUAGCAAAACGAAGUGGAACACUACCAUCCUUUGCAAUAUUAGAUAGUUUUAAUACUGGGUUGUGAGGAAUGAAAAGAUCAUACAAAUCGUCAUUUCUGAAGUCAUUUCUGAAGUCGUCAUUUCUGAACUGAGUGCUAAUUUUUCAUAUUAAGCUUUAUGUUAAUAUCCUUAAUGAGAGGAACUUCCUGUGCCCGUAAUUUCUCCAGAGAAACUAUUAACAUACACAGAAUGUUGUAAUCAGAAGUAUAGUUCAGUUAAUAAAGUCCUCAAUUACAACUCUGACAUUUUGUCAUUGUCUUAUGAAAAGAAUUACUGUAUAUACAGUCUAUUUUACGUUUUCCGGAAGCACGUCAGGCAGGUUUUUUGUUUUUUUACUACUAAUUGUGCCAUUGAAUAUGCUAUUCUGUCGUAUUGUGCCAUCAAACAUGCUAUUCGAAAAAAGAUCUUGCCCAAUUUGUAAUAAAAUAUUGAACAUUGGAGAUUUAGAUUUCGAGUAAAAUCAUACUUUAUUGCUUUGCAGAAGUACACAGUAGGUGG
rnacentral:lncRNA from 1 species